AAAUUGUCAAAUCCGCAAACACAAAAUCGUUGCUGGUGUGCGUCGCAUUUGUGUCUUUAGUUUUCUGCUUUGUGGUCGCUCUCGCUGAGAUGCUGAUGGUUGCAAAAUAAUUAAUUUGAUUUAAUUUGAUUACUGUUCCCGCCAUCGUUAUAAUCCGAAGAUAUGUCGUCCCGACGGAGCUUAUUCCCGGCGAGAUUCCCGGCUCGUUUGCUUCGCUGCAAAGUCAAUGCAUUCCGGCGGCGAUCAAUCGAUUGGAAUAGGGAAAAACUCAAAACAAGAACGGAACGGUUGAUGGCGGAUGAAAAGGCCAGUUGGUCAGCAGUGAGCCGAACGUAAUCACAAAAGAUGUACUAAGUAAAUAAGCCUACAACUCAAGAUGAAAACGACGAAUAAAUUGAAAUAGCCGAGGGAAUGCCUGGUUCAGCAGAUGCCAACGGCUUCACCGUUUCCCGAUAAAACUACCCUGGUAUUGAUGAAUUUUUAUUAAACAGUGUUUAAAUAUUGUUUUAAAUAAACAAGUAAACUCAAAUCGAUAUUAAAUAAAACAUGUUUCAAAAAAGAA